rnacentral:rRNA from 1 species
AGAGUUUGAUCCUGGCUCAGAUUGAACGCUGGCGGCAGGCCUAACACAUGCAAGUCGAACGGUAACAGGAAGCAGCUUGCUGCUUCGCUGACGAGUAGCGGACGGGUGAGUAAUGUCUGGGAAACUGCCUGAUGGAGGGGGAUAACUACUGGAAACGGUAGCUAAUACCGCAUAACGUCGCAAGACCAAAGAGGGGGACCUUAGGGCCUCUUGCCAUCGGAUGUGCCCAGAUGGGAUUAGCUAGUAGGUGGGGUAACGGCUCACCUAGGCGACGAUCCCUAGCUGGUCUGAGAGGAUGACCAGCCACACUGGAACUGAGACACGGUCCAGACUCCUACGGGAGGCAGCAGUGGGGAAUAUUGCACAAUGGGCGCAAGCCUGAUGCAGCCAUGCCGCGUGUAUGAAGAAGGCCUUCGGGUUGUAAAGUACUUUCAGCGGGGAGGAAGGGAGUAAAGUUAA